UCGGGAAUUUUGGGCAAUGGGGGAAACCCUGAUGCAGCAACGCCGCGUGAGUGAUGACGGCCUUCGGGUUGUAAAGCUCUGUCUUCAGGGACGAUAAUGACGGUACCUGAGGAGGAAGCCACGGCUAACUACGUGCCAGCAGCCGCGGUAAUACGUAGGUGGCAAGCGUUGUCCGGAUUUACUGGGCGUAAAGGGAGCGUAGGCGGACUUUUAAGUGAGAUGUGAAAUACCCGGGCUCAACCUGGGUGCUGCAUUUCAAACUGGAAGUCUAGAGUGCAGGAGAGGAGAGUGGAAUUCCUAGUGUAGCGGUGAAAUGCGUAGAGAUUAGGAAGAACACCAGUGGCGAAGGCGACUCUCUGGACUGUAACUGACGCUGAGGCUCGAAAGCGUGGGGAGCAAACA
rnacentral:rRNA from 1 species